rnacentral:rRNA from 1 species
CCGAACCGACUAAUGUUGAAAAAUUAGCGGAUGACCUGUGGCUGGGGGUGAAAGGCCAAUCAAACCGGGAGAUAGCUGGUUCUCCCCGAAAGCUAUUUAGGUAGCGCCUCGUGAAUUCAUCUCCGGGGGUAGAGCACUGUUUCGGCUAGGGGGCCAUCCCGGCUUACCAACCCGAUGCAAACUGCGAAUACCGGAGAAUGUUAUCACGGGAGACACACGGCGGGUGCUAACGUCCGUCGUGAAGAGGGAAACAACCCAGACCGCCAGCUAAGGUCCCAAAGUCAUGGUUAAGUGGGAAACGAUGUGGGAAGGCCCAGACAGCCAGGAUGUUGGCUUAGAAGCAGCCAUCAUUUAAAGAAAGCGUAAUAGCUCACUGGUCGAGUCGGCCUGCGCGGAAGAUGUAACGGGGCUAAACCAUGCACCGAAGCUGCGGCAGCGACACUGUGUGUUGUUGGGUAGGGGAGCGUUCUGUAAGCCUGUGAAGGUGUGUCGUGAGGCAUGCUGGAGGUAUCAGAAGUGCGAAUGCUGACAUAAG